GGCCAGCAGCCGCGGUAAGACGUAGGGUCCAAGCGUUGUCCGGAUUUACUGGGCGUAAAGAGCGCGUAGGCGGUCUGUUAAGUGUGAAGUGAAAUCUCCAGGGCUCAACCCGGAAACUGCUUCGCAUACUGGCAGACUUGAGGAAUGCAGAGGUUUGUGGAAUUCCUGGUGUAACGGUGAAAUGUGUUGAUAUCAGGAGGAACACCCAUGGCGAAGGCAGCAAACUGGGCAUUAUCUGACGCUGAGGCGCGAAAGCGUGGGUAGCAAACAGGAUUAGAUACCCUGGUAGUCCACGCCCUAAACGAUGGAUACUAGGCGUAAGAGGUAUCGACCCCUCUUGUGCCGCAGCUAACGCAUUAAGUAUCCCGCCUGGGGAGUACGGCCGCAAGGUUGAAACUCAAAUGAAUUGACGGGGGCCCGCACA
rnacentral:rRNA from 1 species